rnacentral:tRNA from 1 species
GACCUCGUAGCUCAGCUGGAUAGAGCGUGUGGUUGCGGACCACGAGGCCGGAGGUUCGAGUCCUCUCGAGGUCGCCA